UGGCGUCAGGAUGAACGCUGGCGGCGUGCCUAAUACAUAGCAAGUCGAGCGAGAAUCAGUUGAACGGAGAUUCGUCAAAGUGAAGCUGAGGAAAGCGGCGGACGGGUGAGUAACGCGUAGGCAACCUGCCCUUAGCAGAGGGAUAGCCAUUGGAAACGAUGAUUAAAACCUCAUAAUGCUGUUUUUACACAUGUAGAGACAGCCAAAGAUUUAUCGGCUAAGGAUGGGCCUGCGUCUGAUUAACUAGUUGGUGAGGUAACGGCCCACCAAGGUGACGAUCAGUAGCCGACCUGAGAGGGUGAUCGGCCACAUUGGAACUGAGACACGGUCCAAACUUCUACGGAAGGCAGCAGUAAGGAAUCUUGCACAAUGGGGGAAACCCUGAAUGCAGCAACGCCGCGUGAACGAUGAAGGCCUUAGGGUUGUAAAGUUCUGAUCUGUGGGAAGAAGAAGUGACGGUACCACAGGAGAAAGCCCCGGCUAAAUACGUGCCAGCCGCCGC
rnacentral:rRNA from 1 species